rnacentral:lncRNA from 1 species
AGAUCCUUCUUCCCUCUCUCCCCAAGACAUAUUUGCAGAAAACCAUAGAAAAUAAGAGUAUAUAAGCUCAGUAAAAGGAAAGUAGAAAGCUGUGAUUAACAAAUUGAAAAGAACAACGGAAGAAGAUCGAAGAACACAAACCUGAUUCUUAAUCUGGGAAUCGAAGGAGGAUGGAGCCUUCGAAAGAGGAUGGAUUCUUCGAAGAAGAGUGAGGGGCCGAGGAAGGCUGAGAUGAGGGUGAUGUUGUCGACUUAGGGGCUUGGUGGGAGGAGAUCAGUGGUCGAGGGCUCGAGGAGGUGAGGGUGGAGGAGAGGAGCAGAAGUAGAUCGGGGAAGAAUGGGAGAAAUUGUGUUCGGGGAAGAAUAGGUCGAGCUGGAGAGUAAGUAAAGAGGAUAAGGCACCGCUAAAAUUUUGAUGGAAAUUUCAAAAAUUUCAUUUCAAAUUGCUCCAAAAUUUGAGCGGAAAGAAUACCCUAAAUUGUAAACCCUAAACCCUAAACCCUAAACCCUAGUCCUGUUGUGGUUCCAAUGUCUAAAAUUCAAAAUAUUAAAUUUCGACCGUCCGAUAUGAUCAGCGUAUUUAAAUACGGAUAUGGUUAAAAAUUCACCUAAUUUUGAUAAAGUUUGGGUCUCGAUCCAUGCAGUCAACAUUAACUCAACUUCAUCUAAUUAAGCGAAUACGCUAUUAUCCCCUACUUAUUUACUAGUUUUGGUCGAUUCUUUCAUGCACACACUCUAACAUAUAUGUUCUAUAGCAGCUUGUGUAGAAUUUUCAUAAAUUUUACCUUUCAGGGAUAGAGUUACCCAUAGAAGAGGAUAAGCGUAAAAGGGUUGAUCGCUUCGAUCGGGACACAAACGUUAUAAAAAAUAUGUGAUUUUUUUACCAUAACCAUAUUUCACUAUACGUAACACAUCCUGUGGACGGAUUUGCAAAAUUCUAUUUACAAGAUAUAGUUGCUUCACAAAUGCACACACUUGCAAAAAUGCCACUAAACAAGUUAUACCACAUUAGUAGGCAUGUUGUGGUUCUAAUGUCUAAAAUUUAAAAUAUUAAAUUUCGACCGUCAGAUGUGAUUAGCAAAUUUAAAUACGGAUAUGGUAAAAAAUUCACCUAAUUUUCAUAAAGUUUGGGUCUCGAUCGAUGUGGUCAACAUUAACUCAACAUCAUCUAAUUAAGCGAAUACGCUCUUACCUCCUCCUUCUUUACUAAUUUUGGUGGAUUCUUUCAGGCACACACUCUCACAUAUAUGUGAUGUAGUAGCUCCUGUAAAAUUUUCAGAAAUUUUACCUUCUGGGGAUAGGGCUACCCAUAGGGGAUAAUAAGCGUAAAAAGAGGUGACCACCUCGAUCGGGACACAAACGUUAUCGAAAAUAUGUGAUUUUUUUACCACAACCAUAUUUCACUAUACGUAACGCAUCUUGCGGAGGGAUUUGUAAAAUUAUAUUUACAAGAUAUAGUUGCUUCACAAAUGCACACACGCAAAAAUGCCACUAAACAAGUUAUACCACAUUAGUAGGCAUGUUGUGGUUCCAAGGUUUAAAAUUCAAAAUAUUAAAUUUCGACCGUUGGAUGUGAUCAACGUAUUUAAAUACAUAUAUGGUCAAAAAUUCACCUAAUUUUGAUAAAGUUUGGGUCUCGAUCGAUGUGGUCAACAUUAACUCAACUUCAUCUAAUUAAGCGAAUACGCUCUUACCCCCUCCUUCUUGAGUAGUUUUGGUGGAUUCUUUCAUGCACACACUCUCACAUAUAUGUGAUGUAGCAGCUCCUAUAAAAUUUUCAGAAAUUUUAUCUUCCGGGGAUAGGGCUACCCAUAGGGGAUAAUAAAGCGUAAAAAGGGUUGACUACCUCGAUCGGGACACAAACAUUAUCGAAAAUAUGUGAUUUUUUUUACCGUAACCAUACUUCACUAUAUGUAACGCAUCCUGCGGAUGGAUUUGUAAAAUUCUAUUUACAACAUAUAGUUGCUUCACAAAUGCACACACGCAAAAAGGCCACUAAACAAGUUAUACUACAUUAAUAGGCAUGUUGUGGUUCCAAAGUUUAAAAUUCAAAAUAUUAAAUUUCGACCGUCUGAUGUGAUCAGCGUAUUUAAAUAUAGAUAUGGUUAAAAAUUCACCUAAUUUUGAUAAAGUUUGGGUCUUGAUCGAUGUGGUCAACAUUAACUCAACUUCAUCUAAUUAAGCGAAUACGCUCUUACCCCCUCUUUCUUGAGUAGUUUUGGUGGAUUCUUUUAGGC